ncrna:unclassified sequences Glutamine riboswitch
AUCGUUCAAUUUGCCUUAGGCAAAUCGGAAGUAGGUAUACCCGAAGGAACGCGGA